AGCAGUUACUGGGUGAUGCACUCCAAAAUUGGGCUCCCUCCUCUCUGGUUCCUGGUGCAUCACCUGAGAACCGCA
rfam:Myotis davidii contig89839, whole genome shotgun sequence.